GGCAGACGGGUGAGUAACAUGUGGGUAUCUACCCUUUGGCCUGGAAUAACACGAGGAAACUUGUGCUAAUACCGGAUAAGUCUUUACGGAGAAAGCUUUAUGCACCAUUGGAUGAGCCCGCACUUGAUUAGUUUGUUGGUAGGGUAAUGGCCUACCAAGACUAUGAUCAAUAGCUGAUUUGAGAGGAUGAUCAGCCACAUUGGGACUGAGACACGGCCCAAACUCCUACGGGAGGCAGCAGUGGGGAAUCUUGCACAAUGGAGGAAACUCUGAUGCAGCGAUGCCGCGUGAGUGAAGAAGGCCUUUGGGUUGUAAAGCUCUUUCGUCGGGGAAGAAAAUGACUGUACCCGAAUAAGAAGGUCCGGCUAACUUCGUGCCAGCAGCCGCGGUAAUACGAAGGGACCUAGCGUAGUUCGGAGUUACUGGGCUUAAAGAGUUCGUAGGUGGUUGAAAAAGUUGGUGGUGAAAUCCCAGAGCUUAACUCUGGAACUGCCAUCAAAACUUUUCAGCUAGAGUAUGAUAGAGGA
rnacentral:rRNA from 1 species